rnacentral:misc_RNA from 1 species
UCCGAGUUGACCCCGGCAGUCUCCCAUGAGUCCCCACCACCCCGAAGGGCGUGCUGGCAACAUGGAACGAGGGUUGCGCUCGUUGCGGGACUUAACCCAACAUCUCACGACACGAGCUGACGACAGCCAUGCACCACCUGUGCAGGAUCUCCGAAGAGGGGCUCUCGUUUCUGAGAGCUUGCUCCUGCAUGUCAAGCCUAGGUAAGGUUCUUCGCGUCGCAUCGAAUUAAGCAACAUGCUCCGCCGCUUGUGCGGGGCCCCGUCAAUUCCUUUGAGUUUUAAUCUUGCGACCGUACUCCCCAGGCGGAAUGCUUAAAGCGUUAGCUGCGCCACUAGUGAGUAAACCCACUAACGGCUGGCAUUCAUCGUUUACAGCGUGGACUAC